GAUGAACGCUGGCGGCGUGCCUAAUACAUGCAAGUCGAGCGAACAGACGAGGAGCUUGCUCCUCUGACGUUAGCGGCGGACGGGUGAGUAACACGUGGAUAACCUACCUAUAAGACUGGGAUAACUUUGGGAAACCGGAGCUAAUACCGGAUAAUAUAUUGAACCGCAUGGUUCAAUAGUGAAAGACGGUUUUGCUGUCACUUAUAGAUGGAUCCGCGCCGCAUUAGCUAGUUGGUAAGGUAACGGCUUACCAAGGCGACGAUGCGUAGCCGACCUGAGAGGGUGAACGGCCACACUGGAACUGAGACACGGUCCAGACUCCUACGGGAGGCAGCAGUAGGGAAUCUUCCGCAAUGGGCGAAAGCCUGACGGAGCAACGCCGCGUGAGUGAUGAAGGUCUUCGGAUCGUAAAACUCUGUUAGUAGGGAAGAACAAAUGUGUAAGUAACUAUGCACGUCUUGACGGUACCUAAUCAGAAAGCCACGGCUAACUACGUG
rnacentral:rRNA from 1 species